ACGGCGCACGGGUGCGUAACACGUGGGCAACCUGCCCUUCAAUGGGGGAUACCCCCGCGAAAGCGGGACUAAUACCGCAUGAUAUUCCAGAGACUUCGGUCUUUGGACUCAAAGGCCGCAAGGUCGUUGAAGGAGGGGCCCGCGCCCGAUUAGCUUGUUGGCGAGGUAACGGCUCACCAAAGCUUUGAUCGGUAGCCGGUCUGAGAGGAUGGCCGGCCACACUGGAACUGAGACACGGUCCAGACUCCUACGGGAGGCAGCAGUGGGGAAUCUUGCGCAAUGGGCGAAAGACUGACGCAGCGACGCCGCGUGGGGGAUGAAGCUUCUCGGAGUGUAAACCCCUUUCGACCCGGACGAAACGCCCGCAAGGGCUUGACGGUACGGGUAUAAGAAGCCCCGGCUAACUACGUGCCAGCAGCCGCGGUAAGACGUAGGGGGCCAGCGUUGCUCGGAAUUACUGGGCGUAAAGGGUUCGUAGGCGGUGCGGCAAGUCGGAAGUGAAAUCUCUGGGCUUAACCCAGAGGCUGCUCCCGA
rnacentral:rRNA from 1 species